rnacentral:sRNA from 1 species
UUUUAGCCACUAAUUACAGUGGAAAUCCUUUUUAUUUUUAAAUAAAAAAUAAAAAUAUUGUAACGAAAGCGGGACACGAG